AAAAGGAGAAACUCCUAGAAACAAAUUGAUUUCUCGAAUCGUUUUCGUACGACGGUUUGUAUCGACCUUAGUGCCCAUGCUCAAAAUAGGUCCUUCCAUCAACGUAAUAUUAAUUAUUACCUGGAAUUCCCCACCUCAUGGAUUUAUUAUCUCAACUUUGAUGGGUCAGUUUGUGGUAACAGUGCUGCUGCAGGUUUCAUCAUUAGAGAUUCCAACGGUCUCCCUCUUGUUGCCGGUACUGCUCCCAUGCGGUGUGAUGACGACCAAGGCUAUGGCCCUUCGGAUAGGUCUUGAGCAUGCUAAGAGAGCUGGAUUUUUAAAAGUUCCGUGAAACUAAUUUUCUUGCUCAUAUCCUCGUCAAUUUUGGUUUGUUCCGUCUCUUCUAAUCAUGUUUGGAUCAAUGUAGUUACUAAGAAUAGUAAAAAUUAGAUAUUGUUUGCACCCAAUGUCCUAGAGGCUUUGCUUUUUUAAUUUAAUUAUUCCUUUUAAAAGAAUAAUA
rnacentral:lncRNA from 1 species